AGUGAACGCUGGCGGUAGGCCUAACACAUGCAAGUCGAACGGCAGCACAGUAAGAGCUUGCUCUUACUGGUGGCGAGUGGCGGACGGAUGAGGAAUACAUCGGGAUCUACUUUUUCGUGGGGGAUAACGUAGGGAAACUUACGCUAAUACCGCAUACGACCUACGGUUGAAAGCAGGGGAACUUCUGACCUUGCGCGAUUGAAUGAGCCGAUGUCGGAUUAGCUAGUUGGCGGGGUAAAUGCCCACCAAGACGACGAUCCGUAGCUGGUCUGGGAGGAUGAUAACCCACCGUGGAACUUAGCCACGGUCCAGACUACUAAGGGACGCAGCAGUGUGGUAUAUUGGACAAUGGUGGCAAGCCUGACCCAGUCAUACGGAGCCGGUGAAGAAGGCCUUGGGGUUGUAAAGCCGUCUUGUUGGGAAAGAAAAGCAGCAGGCUAAGACCCCGCUGUUCUGACGGUACUCAAAGAAUAAGCACCGGCUAACUUCGUG
rnacentral:rRNA from 1 species